GGGUCCAUAGCUCAGCUGGUUAGAGCGCUACGUUGACAUCGUAGAGGUCGAUGGUUCGAGUCCAUUUGGACCCA
rnacentral:tRNA from 1 species